rnacentral:miRNA from 1 species
ACAGCAGCAACAGCAGCAGCAGCAACAGCAGCAGCAGCAGCAGCAGCAACAGCAGCAGCAGCAGCAGCAACAGCAGCAACAGCAGCAACAGCAGCAACAGCAGCAACAGCAGCAACAGCAGCAGCAGCAGCAGCAACAGCAGC